AAGGCAGACUCUUUGCUGUGGUCCCUGGGCUGGAUGGACCAGGGGCCUCAGGGGACAACCAAGGUGAGGCCAGCUCAGGACGAGGGUGCAGAGCUGGGUUUCUCCUCCCGUGACACAGGAAUGGCCCUCUCGCUGUGGCCAGCAUCCAAACCGGACUGGACCUUGGGGCCAGAGAAGGUCAGCAUGCCAUCCGCAGACAGGGAGCAGGAGAGGGCGGACUGGUCCACAUUGGAAGGCAGACGGUAGCGACGGUGAAAUUCACGGGAAAUGUAGCCAUGGUCAUCCUGAGGGCCACCAGGGAGAGGCAUGGUCAGAGGUGAUGGGCAGCAGUGGCCACCAUCCCACACUGGACCAUACAAGUACCUUCACGGUGAGGUCCUCAGGAGAGAAGUGCUUCACGUCCAAGAAGAUGACAAACUUGUCCCGGUCAGAUCGGACCUGAAACCCAAACCCACGUUUGGAGCUCCCCAAAGGACCACCAGCUCCAGAGACAAAGGAUGGGGGAACAGCUGUAUGGUCCCUGAUGGGCUGGAUCACAUAGGACAAGGAAGAGCUCAGCCAUCAGAACCAACCGUCACUCCUCUGCUUCCUCAAGCCAAGAAAGCUGGUGUGUCCUGGGGCUGGGACUGUCACCUGGCCCCACAGGUAAGAUCCACAUUGACCUCCAGACCCAAGGACUGGGCAGUGCCG
rnacentral:lncRNA from 1 species